UACGUAGGGAGCAAGCGUUGUCCGGAAUCAUUGGGCGUAAAGGGUGCGUAGGCGGGUCUUUAAGUCAGGGGUGAAAUCCUGGAGCUCAACUCCAGAACUGCCUUUGAUACUGAAGAUCUUGAGUUCGGGAGAGGUGAGUGGAACUGCGAGUGUAGAGGUGAAAUUCGUAGAUAUUCGCAAGAACACCAGUGGCGAAGGCGGCGAUCUGGACAGAUAUUGACGCUGAGGUGCGAAAGCGUGGGGAGCAAACAGG
rnacentral:rRNA from 1 species